rnacentral:lncRNA from 1 species
CUCUAUCUGUAACUCAGAGUCAUUUGGGAGGAUUCCUUGUUUCCUAUGCAAGAGUUGCCGGCACCUGCAGGAGCACCUAGUGGACUCAUGUGAGUGGCCUGCUGGCCUCUGAGGAGGAGACAAGCUGUGGUCUCGAGGGAACGAGCUGUGGUCUUGAAGGUCGAGAGGGACUUGACCUGCUCAGGUAAGAGUGAGGUAAGCUCAGGACUGAAGCAAAGCUGAGACCCUCUGGAGCUGGCGGUCCCCAUGCUCUUGGAGAGUGAGUGAGCUUUGGCCGGGCAGGUGUGCAGACUGCCCAGGCCCCCACUGUGCAGACGUGCUGUUAUUUCUUCUGGCAAGAGAGAAAAAAAAACCUCUCUGGACUGCAAUUUUCAUUCUAUCUAUGGUUCUACUUUGCUGUCUUUUGCAAGAAAAUCUCUCAGAAAUGCUGUCCACAUUUGCUCUUUCCAAUUCUUGUCCUCUCAUUCUCUCUUAAGUUCUUCCAACUGGGCUUCCGAUGCCAUCAUUCUACUAAGCCUAUUCCCUUCGAGGUUACUAAUGAUGUCCACAUGGCUACAUCCAAUGGCAAAUUCCUGGGCUUAUCAACUGACUCCUCCUCUGACCCAUUGGCAACUUCCUCCUCUUUGACACUCUUUCUACCCUUGACUUCCAGAACACUCCAGGCUUUCUGCCUACUUUAACUGGCUACUAUUUCUCCGUCUCUUUUGCAGGUUUCUUCUCCCCUUUGGGACACAACAGUUCAGUGUUCUGAACUGGUUACAUUCACCCCUGGAUGAUCCGAUGACUUAGGUCUAUAUGCUGACAAUUCCCAGAUGUCUGUCUAGCCCAGAUCGUCCCACAACUCUAGACUCCUAUAUCUAACACCUCCACCUGAAUUUCCAACAGACAGGUCCAAUUUAGUACAACAAAAGCUGACCCCACAGAGAGUCAUCCCCAUCUAGUUAAUUGGUGACUCCACCCUGCCAGUUGCUUGGUCCAAAAAUGUUGAUGUUAUUCUUGACUCUCCCACCACAUAAUCCAGGAAGAAAUCAUUUUGACUCUGCCUUAUCUUCAAAAAUAUGUCAGAAUCUGAUCACCUCUAACUAUUUGCGCCACCAAUAUGGCUUUCUUUUCUGGACUACUACAGUCAGUUUUCCAGCUGGGGUCCCAGAUGCCACCCCAGCCCCUAAAGUCCAUUAUGAACACAGCAGCCAUAGCAACUCCUUGAAGAUGGGGCUCACACUAUGUCACUCCUGUCCUCUGUUCAAACACUGUUCUCAGUCCUUCAAAAGGUCUUCAAAGCCCUGACCCCACCCCACCACCUCUCUAACUCAUGGAGGUCCAGUGGAUGGCUCUCCUGCUAUUCCUCAUCAUUCCCGGUACUCUCUAGCCUCAGGGCCUCUGCCUGGAAUGUGCUUCUGCCCACAACCCAUAUUGAUAACGCCUUUACCUCCUUCCAGGUUUUGAUCAUCCCUCACCUUCUCAAUGAGACAUGCAUGGCCUACUCUAUUUACAAUCCUGCGACAACACACCAAAAACGUUUCCUUUUGCCAUUAGUCUUCGGGUUUACCUGGUUGACCCUUGAUGACAAUCAGAAAUUUAUUUAAGAUAAUUUUAUUGGUAGUUUUGAUUUGUAAAGGAGAACUUCAGAGUUGCUGCUCACAUGGGCCCUGCCCAGUGGUCUGCUACUUGGCAGGGCAGCCAAAGCAUUUACACCUCCUGCAAAGCUUCAACCCCUUCCAGAGGAGCCGAUGUCUAAGCUGAGAGGCAACUAGCGAGGUAGACAGGACUGAGAAGGCCAUUCCCAAAGAGAGAGGAGGCAAACCAGAGGGAGAUGGGGGAAGGUUGCAGCCAAGCUGCUGGGAGCUACAGCCCUGCCAAUCUGCUAACCCGAAACUCCCAAGCGGGAGUCAUGAGGACUAUAGUGGGCAAUUAGAACUCACAUCAUCACAUAGCUCUGGUAGAGCACUAACUUCUGCCCAUCUCCCUUUCUUUUUAUUGA